rnacentral:rRNA from 1 species
AAUGAACGUUGGCGGCAUGGAUUGGGCAUGCAAGUCGAGCGAGAAGUGUAGCAAUACACGGAAAGCGGCGGAAGGGAGAGUAAUACGUGGGAAUCUGCCCUUAGACCUGGGAUAGCAGCGGGAAACUGCUGGUAAUACCAGAUAAUGUCUAUGGACCAAAGGUGUGAUUCCGUCUAGGGAUGAGCCCACGUCCUAUUAGCUAGUUGGUAGGGUAAUGGCCUACCAAGGCGAUGAUGGGUAGCGGGUGUGAGAGCAUGACCCGCCUCACUGGGACUGAGACACUGCCCAGACACCUACGGGUGGCUGCAGUCGAGAAUCUUCGGCAAUGGGCGCAAGCCUGACUGAGCGAUGCCGCGUGCGGGAUGAAGGCCUUCGGGUUGUAAACCGCUGUCGAGGGGGAGCAACUUCCAUAGAGUUAUCUUUAUGGAUUGAGUGAUCCCUGGAGGAAGGACGGGCUAAGUUCGUGCCAGCCGCCGCAGUAACAC